CAUCGGGGAGCCGGAACGUCUGCUUGCUGAGCUGAAGUCUUCGGUUGUCGUGCUCAGGUUUCACGGCACGGAGAGGCGAGCUCUGGGGGUGGACAUGUCACACCUCACACUCCUGCAAGGAACAGCCGUCCCCGAGAGAGCUCAGUCCCCCGUGACAUUGGGGUCUCUGUGGGAUGAAAAUUAGCACCAGGUGCCACUUGUGAGUGUCCCGGGCCCCUUGGGUCAAUUCCCCCUCGCUGCGCAGCCCUGCAGAGCAGGUGUCACGGCCCCCACGAGGAAGCUGAGAGAGGGGGACUCAGAGGCUCAGAGAAGUCAAGUCACUUGCACCAGCCUGUUCAGCAGGGAAGCCCAGAGCCGGCCGGGCCUCCUGCGCCCCCGGCGUCUCUCACUGCCACUGCCGCCUGGGAUCUGCGUCCCCUCCACACCCACCCUCAGCCCUGCGCGUCGCCGAAGCCCGGCUCGUAAUGCCACCGACUUUUUGUCAGUUGAGACACCUCCCUUUGUCGCCACCUCCCUGGACUGUAACUAAAGGUGCUGAAGCCUCUCCCAGAACCAGCUCUGGGGACCCUGACCCCAGGGCUCGAGGAGAGGCCUCCAGCUGGGACGUCCUUCUCCCACACCAGCGCACAUUCAGCGUGAGAGGCCAAGUGUCCAGGGGCACUCUUCAUCCUCCUGGCAUUGUGAGGCCCUGUGUCCCUCUGCUGUGCCUGGCUGACUCCCACACUCCUUAAAGGAUUGGGCUCAGAUGUCCCUUCCUCCAGGAAGCCCUCUUGACUUACUCCACCCUGCUCCAGUUGUGCAAUGCCCCAGCAGAGCUUUGCCCCAGUUGUCCUUAUUGCUGGAGAGUGGCCCCACUGGGACACAGGCUGUGCUGUGCUCUCGUGUCCCUAUCCUCCUUUGAGGUGCACGGGACACAGGGAACGUGUGUCAGAAAUGCCCGUGAAGCAAGAGUGAGGGCUUCACUCGGGACAGAUCCCAGGAGCAUCAGCUCCGCCACUGCCCCUGGCUGCAGUGAGUUCACCGGCCUGGUACCCGGGGCCCGGCCCGUGGACGGCAGCCCAGACCUGCCGUGAGUAAUGCCAGGGACCGACCACACGGACUGCUCACCCGGAGAUGGAAGUUUCCAGCACCCAGAGAUGGAGGACCAGUCUCCUUAACUAAACACUCCUGGGUGCGGUUGCCCCCCCCCCCGAAGGACACCAGGGUGGCGUAAAGCAGAAAACGAAAACUCACUAGGGACGGAUGGCUCUUGAGGCUCUUCCCUGAACGGACCUCCUCGCGGCCCCUCCCCCCCCGCCAGGGAAAGGCAGACGUUUACAGAGAGAGGACACCUGGGGGAUUCUGAAAUAGAAGCCGGGGUCGGCAGCCCCCUCGGGGGUCCGAGGCCCGAGCUCAUCUUGACUCCUGCAGGGUGCAGGGUGCAGGGGGGGUGCGGGGG